AACCUUGAAAUACCACCCUUUAAUGUUUGAUGUUCUAACGUUGGCCCCUUACCGGGGUUGCGGACAGUGUCUGGUGGGUAGUUUGACUGGGGCGGUCUCCUCCCAAAGCGUAACGGAGGAGCACGAAGGUUAGCUAAUCCUGGUCGGACAUCAGGAGGUUAGUGCAAUGGCAUAAGCUAGCUUGACUGCGAGCGUGACGGCGCGAGCAGGUGCGAAAGCAGGUCAUAGUGAUCCGGUGGUUCUGAAUGGAAGGGCCAUCGCUCAACGGAUAAAAGGUACUCCGGGGAUAACAGGCUGAUACCGCCCAAGAGUUCAUAUCGACGGCGGUGUUUGGCACCUCGAUGUCGGCUCAUCACAUCCUGGGGCUGAAGUAGGUCCCAAGGGUAUGGC
rnacentral:rRNA from 1 species